rnacentral:rRNA from 1 species
GGCGUGCCUAAUACAUGCAAGUCGAGCGAAUGGAUUAAGAGCUUGCUCUUAUGAAGUUAGCGGCGGACGGGUGAGUAACACGUGGGUAACCUACCCAUAAGACUGGGAUAACUCCGGGAAACCGGGGCUAAUACCGGAUAAUAUUUUGAACUGCAUAGUUCDAAAUUGAAAGGCGGCUUCGGCUGUCACUUAUGGAUGGACCCGCGUCGCAUUAGCUAGUUGGUGAGGUAACGGCUCACCAAGGCGACGAUGCGUAGCCGACCUGAGAGGGUGAUCGGCCACACUGGGACUGAGACACGGCCCAGACUCCUACGGGAGGCAGCAGUAGGGAAUCUUCCGCAAUGGACGAAAGUCUGACGGAGCAACGCCGCGUGAGUGAUGAAGGCUUUCGGGUCGUAAAACUCUGUUGUUAGGGAAGAACAAGUGCUAGUUAAUAAGCUGGCACCUUGACGGU